UUUCAACUGCUACUCUGAUGCAGCCUGACUGGCUCAUGGAGAAAGCCUACCUAAGAAUGAAGCCGGGACCCGGCAGAAUGGCUCCUGUGAAGAAGGGUGGCAAGAAGAAAAAGGGCCGUUCUGCCAUCAAUGAGGUGGUGACCCGAGAAUACACCAUCAACAUUCACAAGUGCAUCCAUGGAGUGGGCUUCAAGAAGCAUGCCCCUUGAGCACUCAAAGAGAUUCGGAAAUUUGUCAGGAAGGAGAUGGGAACUCUAGAUGUGCACAACUGAUACCAGGCUCAACAAGGCUGUCUGGGCCAAAGGAAUAAGGAAUGUCCCAUGCCGAAUCCAUGUGCAGUUGUCCAGAGAAUAUAAUGAGGAUGAAGAUUCACCAAAUAAGCUCUGUACUUCGGUUACCUAUGUACCUGUUACCACUUUCAAAAAUCUAUAGACAGUCAUUGUGGAUGAGAACUAAUCACUGAUUGUCAACUAUAUCAAACAAAGUUAUAAAACUGCAAAAAAAAAAAAAAAAAUGAAGCCAACACCAAGGAAAACAAAGAUGUCUUCAUGUGUAUGACAGAACAAGUAACAGACUAACAGAAGCUGCACACAUGCUCAAGAAAUAGAGAUGCACGCAGAGACCUGACAACAUCCUGUGCGCCUAUAUCCAGCCAAAGCAUCCAGCAGACUGACCUCAUGAUUUUUCACAUACAUGAACCAAUAAAUUCCCUUUUUUGUUUAAGC
rnacentral:lncRNA from 1 species